rnacentral:rRNA from 1 species
UACAGAGGAUGCAAGCGUUGUUCGGAAUUAUUGGGCGUAAAGGGCGCGUAGGCGGUGCGGUAAGUCUGUAGUGAAAUCUCUGGGCUCAACUCAGAGUCUGCUAUAGAAACUGCCGUGCUUGAGUGUGGGAGAGGUGAGUGGAAUUCCCCGGUGUAGAGGUGAAAAUUCGUAGAUAUCGGGAGGAACACCAGUGGCGAAGGCGGCGACCUGGACGGACACUGACGCUGAGACGCGAAAAGCGUGGGGGAGCAAACAGG